rnacentral:rRNA from 1 species
UAAAGUGGCGAACGGGUGAGUAGCACGUGGAUAAUCUGCCCGCACAUCUGGGAUAACCCUUCGAAAGGAGGCUUAAUACCGGGUAAUAUUCUUGGGCGGCAUCGCUCGGGAAUCAUAGGCGGGGUAACCUGCCGUGUACGGAUGAGUCCGCGCCUCUUUAGCUAGUUGGCGGGGUAACGGCCCACCAAGGCGACGAUGAGUAGCCGACCUGAGAGGGUGAUCGGCCACACUGGGACUGAGAUACGGCCCAGACUCCUACGGGAGGCAGCAGUAGGGAAUAUUGCGCAAUGGACGAAAGUCUGACGCAGCAACGCCGCGUGGGCGAUGAAGUUUUUCGGAAUGUAAAACCCUGUCGGUGGGGAAGAAACGCACGAUUAGUAACUGAUUCGUGCCUGACGGUACCCACAAAGGAAGUCCCGGCUAACUCCGUGCCAGCAGCCGCGGUAAUACGGGGGGGACAAGCGUUGUUCGGAUUUACUGGGCGUAAAGGGCGCGUAGGCGGACCUUCAAGUCGGGUGUGAAACCCCCGGGCUUAACCCGGGGUCUGCAUUUGAUACUGUCGGUCUUGAGUACAGGAGAGGAGAGUGGAAUUCCAGGUGUAGCGGUGAAAUGCGUAGAUAUCUGGAAGAACACCAGUAGCGAAGGCGGCUCUCUGGACUGAUACUGACGCUCAAGCGCGAAGGCUUGGGGAGCAAACAGGAUUAGAUACCCUGGUAGUCCAAGCGGUAAACUAUGGGUACUAGGUGUCGGGGGUAUCGACCCCCUCGGUGCCGCAGUUAACACAAUAAGUACCCCGCCUGGGGAGUACGAUCGCAAGAUUGAAACUCAAAGAAAUUGACGGGGACCCGCACAAGCGGUGGAGUAUGUGGUUUAAUUCGAAUCAACGCGCAGAACCUUACCUGGGUUUGACAUGCACGAGACCGUCGGUGAAAGCCGGCUUCCUCUUCGGAGGUUCGUGCACAGGUGCUGCAUGGCUGUCGUCAGCUCGUGCCGUGAGGUGUUGGGUUAAGUCCCGCAACGAGCGCAACCCCCGUGUAUAGUUGCCAUCAGGUUAUGCUGGGCACUCUAUAGAGACUGCCGGUGAUAAGCCGGAGGAAGGCGGGGAUGACGUCAAGUCCUCAUGGCCCUUACACCCAGGGCCACACACGUACUACAAUGGCCGGUACAGAAGGUCGCAAUGCCGCAAGGUGGAGCCAAUCCCCAAAACCGGCCUCAGUUCAGAUUGGAGUCUGCAACUCGACUCCAUGAAGGCGGAAUCGCUAGUAAUCGCUGAUCAGCAGGCAGCGGUGAAUACGUUCCCGGGUCUUGUACACACCGCCCGUCAAGCCACGGAAGUUGGGAGCACCCGAAGUCGUUUGUCUAACCGCAAGGAGGACGACGCCUAAGGUGAAACUGACAACUGGGGCUAAGUAAGUAACAAGGUA